CUAUAUAAUUGCACAGAAGCAGGAAGUAAAGCACGAGUGGAGCGCUCCGUGAGCGUGCGGCUUGGCGCUGAUGACUCUUCGGAGGAGCUGCGGUGCAAGCACAGCGAGCGCAGACGGGGACGGACGCUCCUCUCCGGCUUUGGAGGACGCAGAGGUCCUGAGUGACUGUAAUUCCCAGGAACUCGAAGUUCUCUUUGGUUGAGACAGGGCAGUUGGACAGCGUGAAGGGCAGCUGUGGCGAAGGAGGCCUCCUGAAGUCCACGAUCAUCUCUACAGUCUUGAGCGUGUUCAGCUCGAGGUUGUGUCGGCCGAACCACAGCUCCAGCCGCUCCACUUCCUGUCGAUAAGCAGACUUGUCACCGUCUUUGAUGAGGCCGAUGACUGUGGGUGAGGCCGAUGACUCUGGUGGUGUGAUGUUAGGAACACAGCGAUUUCCAGCAAGUUGAAAGAAAAUAAAAUUAACGACUUGGAAAUCUGUUGUAUGCACCAGAGAUCUUGUGUUGGAGAGGUAUAGGUUCACUACUAACUUGCCUUCAACUAGAUUUGAUGGAAAUGUAUCAAAAUAGUUAUAAUAUUUGCGGAAUUCUGUUGACCAAACCAACCAACCGACCGACCGACCGACCAACUAACCGACCAACAAAUUAAACCAGCCAACCAACUAACUUUCAGCAAGAUUUUGUGGAAAUUGAUUAUCAAAUUUGUUGUGUGAUCGUUAUUACCAACCAACCAGAGACAAGGUUGCCUUCAUCUCCUGUAGUUGACAAACUGAGCAAAUGUAAAUUGCUUACUUACUGACUAACUGAACCAACCAGCCAACUAACUAGCUAAAUAAGUAACAAUCAGGUUGCCUUCCACAAGGUAUCAUAGGAAUAAAAUGUUUGCAUAAUCCUGCAUUCUCAGUGAGCGCCCGACCAACUGACAGACCCAUCGACUGGCCUAACUAAGGUAGCUUUCGACAAAGUGUUCAAAGAAAUUGAUUGUCAAUUUUUUUACGUAAUCCUUAUUACUAACUGAUCGGCCGAUUCGCCAACCGAUUAACUUGCAGUGAGUUUGACAAGGCUUCAGUUAUCUAAUUUUUGUGUAAUCCUGUUUACUAACUUUCUAAAUGAAAGUCCAUCGAACAUUCAGGUUGCCAUUGACUAGUAUUCAUGUAAAUCGGUGAUGUAAUUUUGGCAUAAUCUUUCUUAUAAACUAACUAACAGUGGCUGUUCUUUGAAUAGUUUUUCACUACACAACUGCAAAAAUUUUGAGUCUGUGCCUCCGGAGAGCUCUGGAGAUUAUUUGUAGAUGUAGCAAAUAACAUCCUAGCCGAGUAGCCCACAUCCUGUUGUUGACGUGAGGACAGGACGUGUCCGCAUCCCUUCCAAUGGGAAAUGCAGGCGGCUUAUUAAUAGCAACGAGAGGUAUGAGCAUGGCCAUGCUGCUUGGGAGCGUUAUCUGGCUACGUGUUGUUGUACCCAUAUUAAAUGUCAAGUUCAGUGGGUCAUGCGCUGCACUCAUUGUCUUCUACAUGUGCUUCAGCGUGACAAAUUACUUAACUUUAGCACUUUUUUUCACUCUUGAUAAACAACACAUAGAAAACAAUGAUAUUUACUUGUUAUUGCUUGCUGCACACGAGACCAACAAAUAAACCAAGCAAUAAAUAAUAAAUCAACCAACCAACCAACCAACCAACCAACCAGCGACCGACCAACAAACUAAACCAACCAACUGAAAUCAACAAACCAACUAAGCAACUGAGCAAUCAAUAAACUAAACCCAACCAACCAGGGAACGACCAACAAACUAAACCACACAACCUGAAAAAAAGAAUUAGCAAACAAACUUUUGACUAGAUUUCACAGAAAUUAAUGAUCAGAUGAUUGACAAUGACCAACCGAUUGACCGACGAAUGAGCUAAUUCACUAACAAGUUACCUUUGACAAGAUUUCAUUGAAAUGAUGUCAAGUUUUGCAUAAUCCUACUAACCAAACGACCAACGUACUAGGAACCUACCUCACAAGAGCUUAGUUCAACAGUACUUAUUCUAAAAGGCCUAAUAAAAAAAAUUGAGAACGAGAAUCCACACAGGAAGGGAUUCAUAUUUGAAUCAGUCACCAUAGUCCCCCUCACUUAUUACCAAAAUUAAGUUUUAUUAUUUAACUUGCUAAUGUCAACUGUGCAGUGUGUGCCCGUGAUGUUUUACUGUAUGUAUCAUGUCAUGUUAUGUUAUGUAACUUUUACUUUGCUUUCCGAGUGUGGUCAAGUUUUAUGAUGCAGGUCCGGCCAAGUGCGUGCAUGCCUGGAGAAGGCCAUCAUGGGAGUUCUCCCGCGCUCCCACGCAGCCCAAUCCCGGCGGCAGCUGUGAAUGCGAUGAGAGGAGCCAAAGACCCCAGAGAACUCCCGACAAAACCCCCACCCUGGCUGCACUGCCAUAACGCCAACAAAGAGGAACGUGACCCCUUCCUUCCCACUGUAAACCGCCCCACAAUGGGGCCCCAGAUAUACCGCCUCUUUUUCCUUCUUUCUACGCACUCCGAGGGGAAUCCUCCACCCCACCAGCGGCAUUCCACAUCCUGUCCGGCCGACUCGUAUGCAAAACAUUAGCAGCUUUCUCAAGAUGUCUCAUAGUUAGAAUGGAGAAAAGUUAUUUUGAGAAACUCCAAUAUUACCAGAGACCUGCGCUAAGAUUUGUUUCAGUUUAAUCAACAUCCAAAACUACUUCUGCAUCCGAGGGAACAAAAUGUAAUAAGAUCCAACAAAGCAAAAGUAAUCAAGAAACUAACUAAUCAACCAAACAACAAUCUAAACCAACCUACAACCCAACAAACUAAGCUGUUAAAAACUGAACAACCAACUACAACCCUAAUUCCGAUGAAGUUGGGACGUUGUGUUUAACAUUAAUAAAAACAGAAUACAAUGAUUUGCAAAUCAUGUUCGACCUAUAGUUAAUUGAAUACAUUACAAAGACAAGAUAUUUAAUGUUCAAACUGAUAAACUUUAUUGUUUUUAGCAAAUAAUCAUUAACUUAGAAUUUUAUGGCUGCAACACGUUCCAAAAAAGCUGGAACAGGUGGCAAAAAAGACUGAGAAAGUUGAGGAAUGCUCAUCAAACACCUGUUUGGAACAUCCCACAGGUGAACAGGCUAAUUGGGAACAGGUGGGUGCCAUGAUUGGGUAUAAAAGGAGCUUACCUGAAUUGCUCAGUCAUUCACACGCAACGUGGGCGAGGUUCACCUCUUUGUGAACAAGUGUGUGAGAAAAUAGUCGAACAGUUUAAGGACAAUGUUCCUCAACGUACAAUUGCAAGGAAUUUAGGGAUUUCAUCCACUACGGUCCAUAAUAUCAUCAAAAGGUUCAGAGAAUCUGGAGAAAUCGCUGCAUGUAAGCGGCAAGGCAGAAAACCAACAUUGAAUGCCCAUGACCUUCGAUCCCUCAGGUGGCACUGCAUCAAAAACCGACAUCAAUGUGUAAAGGAUAUCACCACAUGGGCUCAGGAACACCUCAGAAAAACCAAUGUCAGUAAAACAGUUCAGUACAGUUCAUCGCUACAUCCGUCAGUGCAACUUGAAACUCUACUAUGCAAAGCAAAAGCCAUUUAUCAACAACACUCAGAAAGGCCGCCGGCUUCUCUGUGUUCUGUGCUCCGACAAGUCCACAUUUCAAAUUGUUUCUGGAAAUUGUGGACGUCGUGUCCUUCGGGCCAAAGAGAAAAAGAACCAGCCGGACUGUUAUGGAUGCAAAGUUCAAAAGCCUCUGUGAUGGUAUGGGCUGUGUUAGUGCCAAUGGCAUAGGUAACUUACACAUCUGUGAAGGCACCUUUAAUACCGAAAGGUACAUACCGGUUAUGGAGAAACAUAUGCUGCCAUCCAAGCAACGUCUUUUUCAUGGACGCCCGCUGCUGCUUAUUUCAGCAAGACAAUGCCAAACCGCAUUGUAAAAGAGUGCGGGUACUAGACUGGCCUGCCUGCAGUCCAGACCUGUCUCCCAUUGAAAAUGUGUGGCGCAUUAUGAAACGUAAAAUACGAUAACGGAGACAGCUGAAGCCAUACAUCAAGCAAGAAUGGGAAAGAAUUCCACCUACAAAGCUUCAACAAUUAGUGACCUCAGUUCCCAAACGUUUAUUGAAUGCUUUUUUGGAACGUGUUGGAGCCAUAAAAUUCAAAGUUAAUGAUUAUUUGCCAAAAACAAUCGCGGGGUACAUACAAACAAACAACCAUUCACUCACAUUCACACCUACGAGCAAUUUAGAGUCCUCAAUCAACUUACCACACAUGUUUUUGGGAAGUGGGAGGAAACCGGAGUACCCGGAGAAAACAAAUACAAACUCCCCACAGGCGGGGCCGGGAUUUGAAUGCUGGUCCUCAGAACUGUGAGGCAGAUAUGCUAACGAGUCACCCACCGUUCCGCCAACUAAAUCAAAUCAACAAACUAAAUCACUCAAAAAACUAACCAAACCUACCAACCAACCCACCCACCCAUCCAUCAACAAAUAAACUAAACAACCAACAAAACAAACUAACAAAUAAAUAAAAACCUAUAAUUCAAAACAUCCAAUAUCCAACAACCCAACCAAACAAACAACCAAUUAAACCAACCAAUCAACAAAAAAAAGGAAUGACCGAACAAGCAAACAAAAACAACGAUUCAAACCAACCAACCAAGCAACAAAUUAAACCAAGCAACUUACAAACUAACCCAACCUACCAACCAAUAAACCAAGCCAACCAUUAAACCUACAAUCCAAGACAACCCACAACCAACAAACAAACUGAUUAAUACAGUAUUUAGAGACCAAUGGACAAUUGUCAUGCAGUCAAUGUGACCGUUCAUCGUCAACAACAACAAAACAAGACAAGUUCAAAGAACGUCCAGAGCUGGAGGGUAACACAUGCUGAACGUGUUUUGGAGGGGGGAAAACACUGCGGCUUGGUAGCUGUGGCUACGAAGACAACAGGAAGUGAAACAUUUAGCUGUGUCAUCUUUGUCUUUGACACUAAUGACUCGUGACCAGCAGCUGAGGAAAUCUCAGUCGCACACGAGAAGAGAUUGUAAAUGAAUGAAUGCUGAAAAUUGAACAUUAAGUCAUCAAUGCUAACGCUAACGUCUUUCUUUUUUUUUUAAUGCAGCCCCUGCAGAAAUUUUCAUUUAGCAACAUGAAAUUUGGUGGACAGGGCUAUCAUGAUUAGAGCCACAAACGUGUCUCAAGAAGCCGUGCAUGAAAACACAGGACGUCAGCCAUUUUCUUUAAAUUUGUUUACAUUUUAGGGGUAAUUUCCAGGGAUCCUUGGCCCUGGAUUUUAUUUUUGAAAACUCAGCUUCCAAAGCCUGUUUCACUUAGCAACAUAAAAUUUGGUAUACAUGUCUAUCAUGGGUGGCACGGUGGAUGACCGUUUAGAGCGUCAGCCUCACAGUUCUGAGGACCCGGGUUCAAUCCCCGGCCCCGACUGUGUGGAGUUUGCAUGUUCUCCCCGUGCCUGCGUGGGUUUUCUCCGGGCACUCCGGUUUCCUCCCACAUCCCAAAAACAUGCAUAAAUUGGAGACUCUAAAUUGCCCGUAGGCAUGACUGCGAGUGCGAAUGGUUGUUUGUUUGUAUGUGCCCUGCGAUUGGCUGGCAACUAGUUCAGGGUGUACCCCGCCUCCUUGCCCGAUGACAGCUGGGAUAGGCUCCAGCAUGCCCACGACCCGAGUGAGGAGAAGCGGCUCAGAAAAUGGAUGGAUGGAUGGAUGGAUGUCUAUCAUGAUUAGAAUGACAAAAUGUCUCAGGAAACCAUGCUGGGAAAGAAACAGGAAGUCUAUGAUUCUGCUUUAAAGUGGACAUUUUAGGAGUAAUUUUGAGGGAUCCUUUCCAACUGGAUUUUCUUUUUGAAAAUUCAGUCCCUGAAGCCAGUUUCACUUAGCAACAUAAAAUUUGGUGUCCAAGUCUAUCAUUAAUAGACCAACAAAAAAGUCUCAAGAAGCUCUAUAAUUAAUUAAUUUCCAAGGAUGCUUGCUCCCUGGAUUUUCUUUUUGAAAACUCAAGCUUCUGAAGCCAGUUUCACUUAGCAACAUGACAUUUUGAAGGCAAGUCUAUCAUGAUUAGACCCACAAAAAAAGUCUCCAGAAGCCAUGCUUGGAAAGAAACAGGAAGUCUGCCAUUUUGCUUUGAAGCGGACAUUUUAGGGGUAAUUUCCAGGGAUCCAUGUUCCCUGGAUUUUCUUUUUAAACAUUCAGCCCCCAAAGUCAGUUUCACUUCGCAACAUUAAAUUUGGCAGAUAUGUCUACAAUGAGUAAAUGAGUUUUUUUAAAGAAGCUUGGCCGGAAAGGACCUAGUACUUCUGCAGUUUUGGUUUGAAGUAGACAUUUUUGGGGUCAUUUCCAAGUAUCCUUGCCACCUGGCUUUUCUUUUUGAAAAUUCAGCCCCUGAGGCCAGUUUCACUGAGCAACAUGAAACCUGGUAGACAUGUCUAUUAUGGAUACUUACAAAAAGUCUCAAGAAGCUAUGCCCAUAAAGACAAAGGAAGCCUGCCAUUUUGGUUUGAAGCAGCUAUUUUAGUCUCAUUUUAGUCAUUUCCAGGAGUCUUUCAAAGAUGAACAAGACAUUGUACAAUAUGUAUACUUGCUUGCACCAUUCAGGAUAAAUGCUACAAUGCCAUGUCAACUUUCUGAUAUGUGACUGACUUUGUGUCAAGAAACAGCAUCAAGAGUGAGCAACGUCCCUGCCACUGCCAUGAAUCACCAAUCACAAAUUACAGGACGACCUUCGCCUGGCGACAACCUGGUGUGGCGUGCGUUCGCAGGCCGACAACAGCAGCAGCAAUGCAUAUGUGCUUUGGGGUUUAUGAGUCACGCCCGUCGUCAACGUAGCAUUAGCCACACCACACCACACCACUAAGUUUUAGUCAUCUUGUUUUGUGUCCUUUAUGAGUCACAACUGGGGUGUUUACUGUUGCUUUCCUACAGUACUUAUUUUGUAAAUGUCUGUGAUUGUACAUUUUGUAUGUGUAUGUGUCAUAUACUGCCUGGAGUUCCAUUAUUGUAGCCGGGAGGGCGCUUUGCGUUCUCUCACUCUCUCCCCUCCCUUCUCUGUUUUCAGCACCUGUCUCCAAUCAGCCUUUUCACCACCAGUAUAUAAACCUGCCUGUUACAGGAAAUCCUCACCGAAUUAUUGCAGUUACUUUCAGUGGUACCACGGCCCAUUUACCUCACGUAAGUCACCCUAUUCCUCGUUUCCUUUUUGACUCUUGUGACUCCUUGUUCCAGUGUGUUUUCCCCCUCUGUUCCUGAUCCACGUAAUUCCUGCCGCCAAGCCAGCUGCCUGUCCUCACCACUACCUGCCACCUGUCCACACCGCCGCCUGCCAACCCACCUAGGACCAUCGCCAUUACCUUUCAUCAAUAAACUAUUCAUCCUUUCA